rnacentral:rRNA from 1 species
UAAGACGAACCGUCCAAACGUUAUUCGGAAUUACUGGGCUUAAAGGGUGCGUAGGCUGUGCGGAAAGUUGGGUGUGAAAUACCUCAGCUUAACUGAGGAACUGCGCUCAAAACUACCGUGCUCGAGGGAGACAGAGGUAAGCGGAACUUAGGGUGGAGCGGUGAAAUGCGUUGAUAUCCUAAGGAACACCGGUGGCGAAAGCGGCUUACUGGGUCUCUUCUGACGCUGAGGCACGAAAGCUAGGGUAGCGAACGGGAUUAGAUACCCCGGUAGUCCUAGCCGUAAACGAUGAGCACUUGAUUGAAGGACCCUCCAUAGUCUUUCAGUCGCAGCGAAAGUGUUAAGUGCUCCGCCUGGGGAGUAUGGUCGCAAGGCUG